GUUGUCUAGUCAAUUGUUAGUGGAAAGAAGGGUGUUAACAUUUUAAACUUUCUAUUAUGGAAAGAAUCUGAGAUAAAAAAAAAUAAAAAAAAUCCUUAAUAUGGUAAAAAAAAAAAAUCCACACAAUAAUACAUUAGGCUACACAUGUAUUCAUUUUAGGAUUUUCACUCUUACAUUUCUAUCACUUCUUGUGGCAUGAUCAUUAAAAAUUGACUUUUGGCAUACAACUUGCUCCUUUUUCCUUCUAAGGAAACUUCCUACAACUUUCAAUCAUAAUUGCUAAUCAAUAAUUUAAUCAUAGAUUUCUU
rnacentral:lncRNA from 1 species